CCAGAAGUAAAAUCUUGCGUAAUUUGGUCAUCAGAAUCUGCCCAUGGGAGAUUACCUUCAAUUUUGUACAUUUUAGUCAUUUAGCAGAUGCUCUUAUCUAGAGCAACUUACAAUUAAAAUAACUUUAUGUUCAUCUGUAUUGCAUUUGACACAGGUGUUAGAUUUGUCCUACAACAAUCUGUCUGGAGAUGUCUGUUGGUCUACUUCUCUAUCUGAAAGUCUUUCAUCUCACCGGGAAUCAGCUUCAGGCCCUUCCUCCCAACAAGGCUGCCCCUCGCCAUGACCUCUCACAGCUACUACAGCAUUGAAACCUGCAGGGGAACCACAUCUCAGUAGUACCAGAGGUGUUACCAAGGAACCUGCAACAGAAGGGGUAUUUGCAACACCAGCAGGUGUCUCUCAAACAAAAUUGUGAUGAACAGGACUUCAGGAAUCCCCCUGUCUCUGAGGGGUAGGAGACUGAAUACAUUAAUGGAUGUGUGGUCAAUCCAAAAAACGAUUCCCCCACUCACAUAUUCCUUGACACUGGGGCUGAGGACAGAGAGGAAUUGUAUGGAGUAUACGGUUUGCCACCACCAGAGCUUUGUUUCCUCAAUGUGGCUGACAAUAAGAUUGUCGAGGAAGAAGCAGUGUCUGUAGCUGUGUUCGUCCUAUGCUCAGUGAGAUUGUUAUUCACUCCAACCCACUGACCACACAGAAGUGGUGCCCCCCUACUGCUGACUUACUUCCUCCAGGAAAGGCUGGGUAUUAGAAUUAGGUGCAAGAAGACAUCAGGGGCUGGUUUCCAAGACACAGAUUAAGCCUUGACUAAAACACAUCCUCAAUAGAGAAUCUCCAUUGAAAGUCCUUUUUAGUCCAGGACUAGGCUUUAUCUGUGUCUAGGAAACUGGCGCCAGAAGUUGUGAAACCCCCUUUGAUAUUAUGUAUUGACUCAAAACGAAAGGUUCAAAUGCAAUUUUUGUAAUAAUAAAAAAAAAUGUAUCCACAUUUUGGCUUUGCAUUCAACUGGAAAGUUAAAUAUGACUGCACAUUAUUUUAAUUUCAGUAUUUUUCAAACACGCUACAUUUUGGUCUAACAGUGACUCACUUUUCAUAUUGAAACUAAUUGAUGAACAUUUUAUCUUUCUCUUUAGGUAAAAAUGAAAAUUCCAAAGGUGCCUUUAUUGAUGCUCCUUGACGCUGCUGGCUCUCUGGAGGUGAAAGAUGUUGAAGAUCACACUAUACAAUAGUCAUCAGAUGACCCUUCCAAAAUGAGGAGUCAUUCUUUUGUGGUGGCUGCUGAGGGAAGAACUUUUCAUAACAGUGGCGGUCAGUGCUGUUUAUGAUGAGGGAGGAAUUUAUUAAUUUUUUUCCUUCGUGAGCAUGUCCUCUAUUACAGCGUGUUGGAUGACUGUCAUUCAUAUUGUAUUCACCCAGUUCAAUGUAACAUUGAUGGUUUAGGCUAUUACAUGAUUCUCAAAUUUUCCCUAUACCCACCAUGAUGUUGCUACAACCUAGUUUAUGUCAUUUAAGAUUAGACAGUGACACAUUCAAUACUGCCUUGCCUGCAUCGCUUAUCUAGUGUGUAAUUAUUAGUACAACAGUUACAAACAUGUUUCUAUUGGCCAAAUCCUAGUGUUUUCUUUAUUUUUAUCCUAAUUUUGUUUGCUUCCGUUUUAAGAAAUGUUUUUCAACAGAAUCGUCGGAAUGAAUAAACCCCUGAUCACAAAUAAACAAAGUUCAGCCUCA
rnacentral:lncRNA from 1 species